GGGAUUGGAGAGCUUGCUUUCCAUGAGAGUGGCGCACGGGUGCGUAACACGUAUGUAACCUACCUUGUUCAGGGGGAUAGCCUCUCGAAAGAGAGAUUAAGACCGCAUAACAUUAUUGAAUGGCAUCGUUUAAUAAUCAAAUAUUUAUAGGAACAAGAUGGGCAUGCGGAACAUUAGCUAGUUGGUAAGGUAACGGCUUACCAAGGCUACGAUGUUUAGGGGAUCUGAGAGGAUGACCCCCCACACUGGUACUGAGACACGGACCAGACUCCUACGGGAGGCAGCAGUAAGGAAUAUUGGUCAAUGGGCGGAAGCCUGAACCAGCCAUGCCGCGUGCAGGAAGACGGCCCUAUGGGUUGUAAACUGCUUUUAUACCGGAAUAAACCUUGAUACGUGUAUCAAGCUGAAUGUACGGUAAGAAUAAGGAUCGGCUAACUCCGUGCCAGCAGCCGCGGUAAUACGGAGGAUCCAAGCGUUAUCCGGAUUUAUUGGGUUUAAAGGGUGCGUAGGUGGUUCUUUAAGUCAGGGGUGAAAGACGGCAGCUUAACUGUCGCAGUGCCUUUGAUACUGAAGAACUUGAAUCCACUAGAGGUAGGCGGAAUGUGACAAGUAGCGGUGAAAUGCAUAGAUAUGUCACAGAACACCAAUUGCGAAGGCAGCUUACUAUGGUGGUAUUGACACUGAGGCACGAAAGCGU
rnacentral:rRNA from 1 species